rnacentral:rRNA from 1 species
GACGAACGCUGGCGGCGUGCCUAAUACAUGCAAGUCGAACGAGAGCGACCGGUGCUUGCACUGGUCAAUCUAGUGGCGAACGGGUGAGUAACACGUGGGUAACCUGCCCAUCAGAGGGGGAUAACAUCCGGAAACGGAUGCUAAAACCGCAUAGGUCUUCGAACCGCAUGGUUUGAAGAGGAAAAGAGGCGCAAGCUUCUGCUGAUGGAUGGACCCGCGGUGCAUUAGCUAGUUGGUGAGGUAACGGCUCACCAAGGCCGUGAUGCAUAGCCGACCUGAGAGGGUGAUCGGCCACAUUGGGACUGAGACACGGCCCAAACUCCUACGGGAGGCAGCAGUAGGGAAUCUUCCGCAAUGGACGCAAGUCUGACGGAGCAACGCCGCGUGAGUGAAGAAGGUUUUCGGAUCGUAAAACUCUGUUGUUAGAGAAGAACAAGUGCUAGAGUAACUGUUAGCGCCUUGACGGUAUCUAACCAGAAAGCCACGGCUAACUACGUGCCAGCAGCCGCGGUAAUACGUAGGUGGCAAGCGUUGUCCGGAUUUAUUGGGCGUAAAGCGAGCGCAGGCGGUUCCUUAAGUCUGAUGUGAAAGCCCCCGGCUCAACCGGGGAGGGUCAUUGGAAACUGGGGAACUUGAGUGCAGAAGAGGAGAGUGGAAUUCCAUGUGUAGCGGUGAAAUGCGUAGAUAUAUGGAGGAACACCAGUGGCGAAGGCGACUCUCUGGUCUGUAACUGACGCUGAGGCUCGAAAGCGUGGGUAGCAAACAGG